AAAGAGUAUUACAGUUGUGUUAGAAUGGUCCUGAAUACUGAGCUGAGCUCUCAGAAUAGAAUUGCAGUUAUAAACUCCCUGGUAGUACCUGAUGUUUAACAUAAUCU